AAGCUCGUAGUUGAAUUUCGAAUGUGGCUGGGCGGUCCGCCUCACGGUGUGUACUGUCUGGCUGUGUUCUCUUUCUUGGUGAGCCGGCAUGCCCUUUACUGGGUGUGUUGGGGAACCAGGACGUUUACCUUGAGAAAAUUAGAGUGUUCAAAGCAGGCCUACGCCCGAAUACAUUAGCAUGGCAUAAUAAAAUAGGACGUGCGGUUCUAUUUUGUUGGUUUCUAGAGCCGCAGUAAUGAUUAAUAGGGAUAGUUGG
rnacentral:rRNA from 1 species